UACGGAGGGUGCGAGCGUUGUCCGGAAUCACUGGGCGUAAAGGGCGCGUAGGCGGCGCGGGUAGUCAUCGGUGAAAAGUUCAGGGCUCAACUCUGAAUCGGCCGGUGAUACUCCCGUGCUCGAGCACUGUAGAGGCAGGUGGAAUUCCGGGUGUAGCGGUGGGAAUGCGUAGAGAUCCGGAAGAACACCGGUGGCGAAGGCGGCCUGCUGGGCAGUAGCUGACGCUGAUGCGCGACAGCGUGGGGAGCAAACAGG
rnacentral:rRNA from 1 species